rnacentral:lncRNA from 1 species
ACAUUUCUUUUUCCAUUAUUCAGGCUCCCUGAGGAGCUACCUCCCUUCUGGCUGCAUUGUUGUAAGCCUCCUUCAUGGCUUUUUUGGCAAACCUGGUCAGUUGUUUUUCCAGAUAUUUGGCUUUACCAGUAAACAAAUUCUGAUACCAAGGAUCUCAUGUCUAAUAGAAUUCAAGUUUUUCAGAUGCUUCAAAACCAUUAAGUAGUGAAGAAGUGUAUCCUGAAUGCAAUAAUUUCCCAAUGAAAACCACAUGUAUCAGACUGAAUGGAUGCAAGCUGAUCAAAAUACAAUGUUGUGUUUCCCAUAAUCAUGGCGGAUUAUUUGGUUAGUAUUGAAACUUAAACUUUAAUUUUCUUCCAUGACCAAAAGGAAAUUUCAGCCAAAUGUGGCAGAAACUCAGGAGGCUCUGCUUGCCACAGGUGUUUAAUCAUCAGGGAUGCUCUGGGGAAUAGCAUUGAUGACUGGCAGGCCACUG